rnacentral:tRNA from 2 species
AAAGAAUUAGUUAAACUAUAAUGUUAGAUUGUCAGUCUUUUGUUACUAAUAUAACUUAGUAUUCUUUA